UCUUAAUGUCAAUUUCAAUAAUAAAAUGUCAUUCAAAGUUAACAACAAUAGAAAGAGUAGAAUUCUUGUGGUGGUUGCAAAUCAUUCAAAGGCAAACGUUAGAACUAUGUUUUACUUUGAACAAAAUAAUAAUGAUGUACAAUAUGUUGUGUGAAAACAAUAUCCUCUCCUAUUACUACUACCACCUAAACAUCACGGAAGAAGUAAAAAAAUAUGACCAAAACCACCCACCACCACCAUUUUUUAACUUUCCCUUCCAUUUUUCCAUCUUGAAAAUUCAUGUCACUUCUUCCAAACAAACAAUUUUACCAAAGAAAAAAGGUGGGGAGGU
rnacentral:lncRNA from 1 species